rfam:Myotis lucifugus cont2.2281, whole genome shotgun sequence.
CCAACUGUUCUGAACUCCAGUUCCGGGCGAGUCUCUGGGGACCCAGACUCAUACGGGGAGAAACUGGACUGUCUGGCAGUGGGCGGA